UAGGGGGGGACCUGCGGAGGGAUCAUUACCGAGUUAUACAACUCAUCAACCCUGUGAACAUACCUAUAACGUUGCCUCGGCGGGAACAGACGGCCCCGUAACACGGGCCGCCCCCGCCAGAGGACCCCCUAACUCUGUUUCUAUAAUGUUUCUUCUGAGUAAACAAGCAAAUAAAUUAAAACUUUCAACAACGGAUCUCUUGGCUCUGGCAUCGAUGAAGAACGCAGCGAAAUGCGAUAAGUAAUGUGAAUUGCAGAAUUCAGUGAAUCAUCGAAUCUUUGAACGCACAUUGCGCCCGCCAGUAUUCUGGCGGGCAUGCCUGUUCGAGCGUCAUUACAACCCUCAGGCCCCCGGGCCUGGCGUUGGGGAUCGGCGGAAGCCCCCUGCGGGCACAACGCCGUCCCCCAAAUACAGUGGCGGUCCCGCCGCAGCUUCCAUUGCGUAGUAGCUAACACCUCGCAACUGGAGAGCGGCGCGGCCACGCCGUAAAACACCCAACUUCUGAAUGUUGACCUCGAAUCAGGUAGGAAUACCCGCUGAACUUAAGCAUAUCAAUAAAGCCGGAAGGAA
rnacentral:rRNA from 1 species